rnacentral:rRNA from 1 species
ACGGGAGUAGCAAUACUCCAGUGGCGGACGGGUGAGUAACGCGUGAGAAUCUACCUUCUGGUCGGGGACAACCACUGGAAACGGUGGCUAAUACCGGAUAUGCCGCAACGUGAAAGAUUUAUCGCCAGAAGAGGAGCUCGCGUCUGAUUAGCUAGUUGGUAGGGUAAAGGCCUACCAAGGCAUCGAUCAGUAGCUGGUCUGAGAGGACGAUCAGCCACACUGGGACUGAGACACGGCCCAGACUCCUACGGGAGGCAGCAGUGGGGAAUUUUCCGCAAUGGGCGAAAGCCUGACGGAGCAAGACCGCGUGAGGGAAGAAGGCUCUUGGGUCGUAAACCUCUUUUGUUAGGGAAGAACACAAUGACGGUACCUAACGAAUCAGCCUCGGCUAACUCCGUGCCAGCAGCCGCGGUAAUACGGAGGAGGCAAGCGUUAUCCGGAAUUAUUGGGCGUAAAGCGUCCGCAGGUGGCGAUUCAAGUCUGCGGUCAAAGACUGGGGCUUAACCCUGGAAAGGCCGUGGAAACUGAAGAGCUAGAGUGCAGUAGGGGUAGAGGGAAUUCCCGGUGUAGCGGUGAAAUGCGUAGAGCUCGGGAAGAACAUCGGUGGCGAAAGCGCUCUGCUGGACUGCAACUGACACUCAGGGACGAAAGCUAGGGGAGCGAAUGGGAUUAGAUAC